UGCGCCACCUCCGAUAUCCAAUAGAACGAUCGGUCCUCGCGGAUUGGACGGCAUCUUUUUAACGUCAUCAGAUCAGCCGACGAAUCUUUAAUCGUUGAAAUUCGUCUGAGCUCCGUGAAUCAAGAUGGCGUCAAAUAUCGAUAUCCAGUAGAGAGACGGUGGUUGAGACUUGUAAUCGCAAAAACGACCAAUCUAAAACGUGCUUCUAUGGCUGAAAAGCCGUCCGAGAAGCAAUAACGUGCCGAUGUAGAAAUCGUAGGAUCCAGGAGGCAGGGAGGCUGCGCGCCGAUCUGACGAAGGCCGCACGAGUACAGCGAUCAGGUACCGACGCUGGGCUUCUCUCUCUUCGGCGAGAGCAGCCGUUCGCUUUGUCUCCGUAUUAUAUUCUCCUUCUCUCGAAAUCCUCUACCCGCCUUCCUCCAUAGUCAACGUGUUUCCUCCGAUCGAAAAAGCAACUGGCGCCAUUCGCGAUUACGGCGCUUACGGAAAACAUUACUUCGCUGGAAUUUCAGGCUGAUCAGGUAGCAAUGCUCGUAGCGCGGUAGAGGAAUGCCGGCCUGCGAGACUAGAGAAAACAUUCGGCGUUGCAGCAGACAGCAACGUCCACCGUUCAGCUCCAAUUGCCGCUACUUUCGCUCGUUCCUCGUAAAAUCAUCGAAAUUCGCGAAAGCAGCCGAGAAAAAGAACAAUUGAACAAAGAAAACAAACUACGACCGCAAAGGCUUCAAUCUCGAGGUGUAAAGCAGAAUUCUAAUUAAAGGGCCGUACGACUGUAUACCAAGAGCCACGAUCUUUGGGUGUCUUGAUCAAUUUUCCGCAGGCGUCUCUGGCUACGUUCACGGAGACAGCUGACGGCCAAGAACCAGCCGUGGCGGCUGGUUUGAAAAUUCCAAUACCGAGCAGCGUGCGAAGGUGGCUUUCGGCGUAGAGAAACAAGUGGAUCAAAUCAAGAGACGAGGUCGCAGCCUGGUGACUCAGAGAGAAAGUAAGCAGCGAGCAAGCGGGUAGGAGAAGCCCAUUGCCUCCGACGCCAUGAACCCCACCACCCCCUGUGCCUCCUCCCCACCUGCCGAUUUACGACUCGCUAUUAGAAUCCCGAUAUUGAGUAACUUCCUUAUCCCAUUUUUUUUCCAUCACCAUUCUCUCCAUUCGCCUCGAUGGACCAAAGUCGAGGAUUUUGGUGGAAAAAAAAAAUUAAAAAAAAGAAGAAAAAAAAAGGAAAAUCAGUUUCAUCCAUAAAACGAAUACCUAAUCCAAAAUUAAAUUCUCGUCCGUUACGGAAGAGACAAAAAAUGACACGUGAUCGAAGCAACCCCCUCCUUUCCUGCAUACAAGCGACGCACAAUCGGUCAUGCGGAUGCUGGAUCCUUCUGAUCCUCAUUGUGCGUCCUCGUACCAUAUUUACAGUCGCCACGCACACGCGUCUCUCCAUUCAUCGAAGUACACGUCAUGGCCAUUCUGCUUGCCGAAUGAAUAAGCCCUUGAA